AGAGUUUGAUCAUGGCUCAGGACGAACGCUGGCGGUGUGCCUCACACAUGCAAGUCGAACGGAGCAGCAAUGCUUAGUGGCGGACGGGUGAGUAACACGUGGGAAUCUGCCCUUGAGUGGUGAAUAACUGGCCGAAAGGCUAGCUAAUGUGCCAUACGUCGGAAGAUGAAAGUAGCAAUACGCUUGAGGAUGAGCCCGCGUCCGAUUAGCUAGUUGGUAAGGUAAAGGCUUACCAAGGCACCGAUCGGUAGGUGGUCUGAGAGGAUGAUCACCCACAAUGGAACUGAGACACGGUCCAUACUCCUACGGGAGGCAGCAGUGGGGAAUUUUACACAAUGGGGGAAACCCUGAUGUAGCGACACCGCGUGAGCGAAGAAGCCCUUGGGGUGUAAAGCUCUGUCAGCAGGGACGAAAAAAAUGACGGUACCUGCAGAGGAAGCAUCGGCUAACUACGUGCCAGCAGCCGCGGUAAGACGUAGGAUGCGAGCGUUGUCCGGAUUUAUUGGGCGUAAAGAGUUCGUAGGUGGUUCAUUAAGUCUGGUGUUAAAGGCGCGGGCCCAACCCGUGUACUGCACUGGAUACUGGUGGACUGGAGUGCAGUAGAGGCAAGCGGGAUUCCCAGUGUAGCGGUGAAAUGCGUAGAUAUUGGGAAGAACACCGGUGGCGCAAGCGGCUUGCUGGGCUGUAACUGACACUGAGGAACGAAAGCUAGGGGAGCGAAUGGGAUUAGAUACCCCCGUAGUCC
rnacentral:rRNA from 1 species